rnacentral:rRNA from 1 species
AUUGAACGCUGGCGGGAUGCUUUACACAUGCAAGUCGAACGAGUGGCGGACGGGUGAGUAAUAUAUCGGAAGUGCCCGGUAGAGGGGGAUAACUACUCGAAAGAGUGGCUAAUACCGCAUACUAUCGGAUAACCCAUAUGGGAUUAGCUAGUAGGUGAGGUAACGGUUCACCUAGGCGACGAUCCCUCGCUGGUCUGAGAGGAUGACCAGACACACUGGAACUGAGACCCGGCCCAGAGUCCUACGGAGGCAGCAGUGGGGAAUAUUGCACAAUGGGCGCAAGCCUGAUGCAGCCAUGCCGCGUGUAUGAAGAAGGCCCUAGGGUUGUAAAGUACUUUCAGUCGGGAGGCGUUACCCACAGAAGAAGCACCGGCUAACUCCGUGCCAGCCGCCGCGGUAAUAC